rnacentral:rRNA from 1 species
UGCUACGGCCACGCCACCCUGAACAUGCCGGAUGGAAGCUAAGCAGGGUCGGGCCUGGUUGGUACUCGGAAGGGAGACCACCUAGGAAGACCAGGUGCUGCCGCGU